GACGAACGCUGGCGGCGUGCUUAACACAUGCAAGUCGAACGGAAAGGCCUGCUUUCCCUUGUGGAUUGCGGGUACUCGAGUGGCGAACGGGUGAGUAACACGUGAGUUAUCUGCCCCCAACUUGGGUAUAAGCCUGGGAAACUGGGUCUAAUUCCCGAUAGGACUGCAGGGUGGUGCCUGUGGUGGAAAACGAUUUUCUAGUGGUUGGGGAUGAGCUCGCGGCCUAUCAGCUUGUUGGUGGGGUAAUGGCCUACCAAGGCGGCGACGGGUAGCCGGCCUGGGAGGGUGGGCGGCCACAUUGGGACUGAGAUACGGCCCAGACUCCUACGGGAGGAAGCAGUGGGGAAGAUUGCACAAUGGGCGGAAGCCUGAUGCAGCGACGCCGCGUGGGGGAUGACGGCCUUCGGGUUGUAAACUCCUUUCGACCGCGAGGAAGCCACCUGGUUGGAAGGGUGGUGACGGUAGUGGUAGAAGAAGCACCGGCUAACUACGUG
rnacentral:rRNA from 1 species